rnacentral:lncRNA from 1 species
CGCAUUGUGAGCAUUCAAGUUUCGUUUUUUGCACUUGCUUAGUAGCUGAAAUUGCGGACAUUGCAGGGUUGGGCUUGAUGACAUUUGUUGCUCAGCUGCCGCGACACAUUUGGAGCAAAGCUUCUGCUUAUUUCCUUUGGCCGCACCUUAUAUUUGUUGUCUUUGUCAACAUCUGACCUGUUUCUGCCUUGUUGAAAGCAAGUGGCCACAAGUACUGCUUAGUUUGCUCAGUCUAAACCUGGUAGUGCAUCCAGUUUAGCGCCGUGCACAUGUGUACGGACGCGUGCACGGACGUAACGCUGCUGCCCAUCGCGAGUCGUAAGCGAAAAAAAAAGGCCGACUGAAAAAAAACAACAAGAAAUAUAAUAAGCUGCACGAUCAACAGAUUUUUGAAGAGACCGUUUCAACAGAGAUAUCUGAAGCAGAUCGUUAUUGGACAUGAAGAAAUGUGCAGUGGAUAACAGCAAAACAUGUGGUAACCGACUGACUGACGGUAGUAAGGCUCACAGCCUAAGUUUUUCACUAUUUACACCGAUAAUGUAGCACGUAUUUGCGCAAUUAAAUCACCUGCUAUGCGCAGCAACCGCACUCAAUUGAAGCCGCCAACGCAGCGAUGCACCAUUUGCUAUUUCAGGAUCACGAAAAACAAUGUAUUCACCGAAGUACAGCGGCGGUUGACCUGUCGGCAAGCUGUGAAUUCACAUAUGGCGAAAGCAAAUGUCACGGAGUCCAAGCCCACGAAACUGCGCUCGCAAGAAUAUCGCGCACGCUUGGGCCUUUCCGACAUGCACAAUAGCGCACGCAGAGCGUGGUGCAGCCGACACCCGACAUUCGUGACCGAUUUACGUUCGAGAGUAGCUAUUUCAAAAAGCAAACAAACAAAAAAAGAAACAAUGUGACGUCGC